UACGAAGGGAGCUAGCGUUGUUCGGAAUCACUGGGCGUAAAGCGCACGUAGGCGGAUUUGCCAGUCAGGGGUGAAAUCCCGGGGCUCAACCUCGGAACUGCCUUUGAUACAGCAAGUCUUGAGUUCGAGAGAGGUGGGUGGAAUUCCUAGUGUAGAGGUGAAAUUCGUAGAUAUUAGGAAGAACACCGGUGGCGAAGGCGGCCCACUGGCUCGACACUGACGCUGAGGUGCGAAAAGCGUGGGGGAGCAAACAGG
rnacentral:rRNA from 1 species